AUUUAUUUAAAAAAGAAGAUGCAUUUGCUAGUACAAAGGCUAGAUUUUCACUUAAAAAUGGAAGAAUAACAUGAAUGACAUUUUUUCCCUUCAUUUACAUGGUGCAAACUGAGCAAAUUAAUGGCUGGACCAUCGUUGGUAACAUUUUGAAACUCAAAGCACCACAGUUGGUAACAUUUUGAAACUCGGAUGGAAAAUCAAAAAUGAUCAAUUUUAAAAUUUAGGACUAUAAUUGGUAACAUUUUGAAACUCGGA